GAUGAAGAACGAAGCGAAAUGCGAUAAGUAAUGUGAAUUGCAGAAUUCAGUGAAUCAUCGAAUCUUUGAACGCACAUUGCGCCCGCCAGUAUUCUGGCGGGCAUGCCUGUUCGAGCGUCAUUACAACCCUCAGGCCCCCGGGCCUGGCGUUGGGGAUCGGCGGAAGCCCCCUGCGGGCACAACGCCGUCCCCCAAAUACAGUGGCGGUCCCGCCGCAGCUUCCAUUGCGUAGUAGCUAACACCUCGCAACUGGAGAGCGGCGCGGCCACGCCGUAAAACACCCAACUUCUGAAUGUUGACCUCGAAUCAGGUAGGAAUACCCGCUGAACUUAAGCAUAUCAAUAAGCGGAGGA
rnacentral:misc_RNA from 1 species